rnacentral:rRNA from 1 species
CAUUACAGAAGACAUGGGGUUUUGAGACUGCGUCCUUAAAUGACGUGUGCUCGAUCCUUAUUCUUUUAUCCACACACCUUUGUGCACCAUAAGGGGGACGAAAAAAAAGUCCCCUCUUUUUCUUUACAUAAAUACCAAGUUAUAUGCAUGUGUUAAAGCUCUACGGAGUAAUGUACAACUUUCAACAACGGAUCUCUUGGCUUUCGCAUCGAUGAAGAACGCAGCGAAUGUGCGAAACGUAAUGUGAAUUGCAGAAUUCAGUGAAUCAUCGAAUCUUUGAACGCAUCUUGCGCUCCUUGGCAUUCCGAGGAGCAUGCCUGUUUGAGUGUCGCGAAAUACUCUCAAUUUCAAUUCUUUUCUGGGAUUGAACUUGGAUUUGGGUGUUGUUGUGGUGAUUACAACUCAUCCUAAAUGCAUUAGCGAUCUGUCUGUGAUCACAUACAAUGUGAUAAGAAAAAAGCAUUGUGAUGAUCACAGUUUAGGUUGCUUCUAACUGUCGAAAGACAACGCAUAUAUCAUGUCGUUUGACCUCAAAUCAGGUAGGACUACCCGCUGAACUUAAGCAACAAUA